rnacentral:misc_RNA from 1 species
GAUGAAGAACGUAGCGAAAUGCGAUAAGUAAUGUGAAUUGCAGAAUUCAGUGAAUCAUCGAAUCUUUGAACGCACAUUGCGCCCCCUGGUAUUCCGGGGGGCAUGCCUGUUCGAGCGUCAUUACAACCCUCAAGCUCUGCUUGGUAUUGGGCCCCGCCAGUUCUGGCGGGCCCUAAAGUCAGUGGCGGUGCGUUCCGGCUCCGAGCGUAGUAAUUCUUCUCGCUCUGGAGACCCGGUUGUGUGCUUGCCAACAACCCCCAAUUUUUUAAGGUUGACCUCGGAUCAGGUAGGGAUACCCGCUGAACUUAAGCAUAUCAAUAAGCGGAGGA